CCUACGGGGGGCAGCAGUGAGGAAUAUUGGUCAAUGGACGAGAGUCUGAACCAGCCAAGUAGCGUGAAGGAUGACUGCCCUAUGGGUUGUAAACUUCUUUUAUAUGGGAAUAAAACGUUCCACGUGUGGGAUUUUGUAUGUACCAUAUGAAUAAGGAUCGGCUAACUCCGUGCCAGCAGCCGCGGUAAUACGGAGGAUCCGAGCGUUAUCCGGAUUUAUUGGGUUUAAAGGGAGCGUAGGUGGAUUGUUAAGUCAGUUGUGAAAGUUUGCGGCUCAACCGUAAAAUUGCAGUUGAAACUGGCAGUCUUGAGUACAGUAGAGGUGGGCGGAAUUCGUGGUGUAGCGGUGAAAUGCUUAGAUAUCACGAAGAACUCCGAUUGCGAAAGCAGUUCACUGGACUGCAACUGACACUGAGGCUCGAAAGUGUGGGUAUCAAACAGGAUUAGAUACCCCAGUAGUC
rnacentral:rRNA from 1 species